GGGACAUGUUGGGGACACCGCGGCACUGUCACCCCGUCACCGGCUACAGCCUGGCUCCCCCGCGGCCUCACCGUGUCGGUGAACUGAUGGACACAUGGACAGAGCUGCCAUCACCUCCAGAGGUUCUGCAGCCGCCGAGCACCAGAGCGAUCCUCAUCCAGCACCACGUUAUCGAUGUUGGAAGCUGUGAGGAAAAGGAAGGAACAAGGAGUGGCGGUGGAGGAUGGAGCAAAUAAUAGCAGCAAAACCACCCGCGGGUGAGGGGGGAACAAAGGGGAAGGAAUCAAAAUUCAGACGGCAGCACGGGGGGGGGGGGGGGAAGGGAGGGGGACAUAAAAGCAAAAGAAAC